CCCCACUAAGAAAAUAAUGUGUGGUUUCAGCUAAUGUAAUACGUAACCGUUAAAGCAUAAUUUUAGAUAUCAUAUGAUAUAUACAUCAUGUACUUUAAUGGUUUGUGUAAAGUGAUCUAAAUAUAUUUAUGUCUACUUCAGUUGUUAAAUGACUAAAUAUAUUUGAAUUGUAGGUGAUGUAGUGAAAAUUAAUAUACAAUGUUAGUUGUUAUAUAAAAUAUUAGCGUAUAACGCUCAAACGCCCUAAAAACCACUUAAGGGUGGGAUAUCCGCUAACAUCAUAUAUUACCUUCAAAGCUAACAUUCGUUUUACAAUUAUGAAUUGCCCAAACGCCCUGGAAACCACUUAAAGGUGGGAUAUCCACUAACAUCAUAUAUAGUGCAGACGUUUUUAUGCUCGUCACAAUCGACCUGAAACACAACAAUGCCCGAGUUAAAAUAAUCAAUAAUAUACAUAAUAGUAAAUGUUCACUUUUUGGUGAAAUAAUCAUAUAUCAGAUUUAAAAUCAUGUAUUAGAUAAUAACUAACUUAUCAACUAACAAACCAUGUACCUAAAACAAUGUAUCAUCUAACAGGUCAUGUAUCCAAACCAUGAAACAUCUAAAAAAUCAUGUAACAGCUACAUGUUUUGUUAACAUGUUAUAAUUAUUUAUCUGAGAUGUUAAAAGAAUCAACAACAUACAUACUAGUGAAUACUCAUUUUUUGGUCCUAAGUUGUAUACCUUCUAACACAAACGUAUCAAAUAAUAAAUCAAAUAUCCAGUAAUAAAUUAUGUCCUUAACAAUGUAUCAACUAACAAAUUAUGUAUAUAACCAUUUGACAGUUUAUAUAACCAUUUGACAACUUACUAAUAAUUUAUAAUUUUUGGUACAUGUUUGUAACAACUGACAAAAAAAUAUAUUUUUCACAAUGAAAUAAAACAUAAAAUUCAUUGAAAUCUAAAUAAUAUCAGAUAAUCGAUAUAAUAGCAACUAAUCAAAAGUUAUCCACAUUGAACAACAACUUCAAGAACUCAUCAUAACCCAACUUGAAAAGCUUCGCUCUUUAGCAGCUUCUUAAUUUGGAAAGGACUUCAUCAAUUGCUCCAACUCUAGAUCAGAAACAACUUUCACCUACGCCGCAAAACACAUCUCAACUCCGAUUUGCACACACAAAUCUAAAGAAUCAAACCCAAGAAGAUAAUUUUUUUUAAAGAGAUCAAUCAAAAUCCAGAGAAUAAAUUCAAUGGAAACAAUAAAACCUAAUUUAAAUCCUUUAGUAAGAAGAGACAUAGAAUAUUGUUCGUAAGUGAGAGGAGAUGAAACAAAAGCAUGAGAGAAAUGAAAAUAUUUAGAAAAGAAGAUGAAAGAGAACUAGGAAAAAAAAGGAAAAAAAAAUACAAAGGCUAGAGAGAGAGAGAGAGAGAGAGAGAGAGAGAGAGAGAGAGAGAGAGAGAGAGAGAGAGAGAGAGAGAGAGAGAGAGAGAGAGAGAGAGAGAGUAACUUACAUGUUUCGGGAAAUGAGCCUCACAUGACUGGUUGACUUACUGGCACAACCCACAUGACACAUCUAAGAUAGUGUGGGGCGGGGGAGGGGAGGGGGGGAGUAGGGUUAAAAUCGAAACGGUUUAUAGGUUGAAUGAAAAUGAUAAGCUCAUUAAUACGUCCUAGUUUAUGGCAUAAAAGCCAAUUUUCUCUUUUAUUUUUGUUAAUAAAUAACUUUGACACCUAAAUGAAUCAUUGGAACAUUCGUUGACCAACAUUAUCGUUAUUCUUAUAGUAUAUAUGUGAUGAAUAUCAUACACCUUAAUAAGUUCAUAAAUAUAUAUUAACCUUAUUUUAGUCUCCUCUGUCUCAUUAUUAUGAAUAAAAAAUGUAUUGAGCAUGCUUCUUCAUGAAAUAAAUUAAAAUUUAGUUGGGGAACUUAUCUGAAAAUGAGUUGAAAUAUGAAAAUACUAUUAAAAUUACAUUGAUUUCGAAACUGAUUCAAUUUUAAAUAUAUUUUUAUAUUUUGAAAAAACAACUUUUAGCAUAUAUGAUACAAAUCUCUACAAAAAUAGCUUAAUUUAAAUGAAAAAGAGAUGAAAUAAAGUUGAAAUAGAGAGAUCUAUCAUACGAAAUAUAGAUAUGAGAGAUUUUUCAAAGAAUUUAAAAGAACCAGGGCAGUUUUCAAAAAAAAAAUUGAGAGAAUCACCUUUAAUUUGUCAUAUUCUCAUUGGUUGGAAAGAAAAUUACAGAAAUAAAAAAAAAUAAAAAAAAAUUAUUUAAUUUUUGAAAAACUUGUGUGGAUAUCUGCCAAAUACUAUUACAAUCUAUUUAUUUUGGUCAACCGGAUGAUAUAUAUUAGCAUCAGAGUGAGAACGACAACGAUUGCUGUGAGCCUAAUACAGGACAAUAAGCUGCUUAAUAAACAGACCAACACCCUGGUCGUAUACCAAAACCCAAAAGCCUCAUAGAGUAAACCCAAAAAUGACAAGGUGAAUCUAUCUUUAUAAAUACCCAAGCCACUUAUUGUCUUAUUAGAAUUUAUCUGUAAUUUUUUUAGCCAAAAAAUGAAAACUAUCUGGAGAAAACGGUCAUUUAAAUACUGAACUUACUCAUUUUUACCAAAUAAAAUAUAAACUUUUCGUUACCUCAAAUAAAUACCAAAGUUAUGUUGACUGAGCCAUUUUAGUAUUACUUUUGGUCAACAUAUAUUGUCUGUGUAUAUGACGUUUAAUGUUUGACGUUUAAUGUUAACGGUGAUUGAAACUUUGUCAUUUUAAAAUCAGAACAGAGAACAAAAUACCCAAAUCGAAAUACCUUACAUGCCUAAUCCCAAAUAGAUGUCUCUCUUUUAUCUCAGUUUCUUGAUGUCAAAUCUAAAACAUCUUUCAAUUGAUCCUCCAAAAAUGAGAGAAAAGUUGAAUAUUCAUCUCCCCAACCCCAAGUCGAGAGAACCAGAACCUGCUGCUCAUUAUCUUUCUCAUGUCGUUGUAUUGGGACAAUUCAAACUGAAAAGCCGUUUCAAGGACACGAACUCUUCAAGUCAUUUUCUCAGUAGACUACUAUGAAUGUUCUUCAUUUGGUUCGUCUUUUUUCUUUUUCACAGGUUUUGUUCUCUGAGGUGAGCCUAUAUGAGGUCGAUUUGGGACGGUGCUAGGCAUUUCUUUUGUAAAGAAGGCUACUUGUUGGCCCUUGUGGAGUGAGAUCUUGUUGUUUCUGUAAGACUUUUUUGUUCUUUCCUGUAAUUUUCAGACAUCAUAUUUGUUCUGUGACAGUUUCAUUUGAGAUAUGUUGAAGACAAUCAUAAGCAUUCUAAAACA